rnacentral:rRNA from 1 species
AAGGCAGCAGGCGCGCAAAUUACCCACUCCCGGUACGGGGAGGUAGUGACGAAAAAUAACGAUACGGGACUCAUCCGAGGCCCCGUAAUCGGAAUGAGUAUACUCUAAACCCUUUCCCAAGGAUCAAUUGGAGGGUAAGUCUGGUGCCAGCAGCCGCGGUAAUUCCAGCUCCAAUAGCGUAUAUUAAAGUUGUUGCGGUUAAAAAGCUCGUAGUCGAAUCUGUGUCCCGCGCCGCUGGUUCAUCGCUCGCGGUGUUCAACUGGCGUGUUCCGCGGGACGUCCUGCCGGUGGGAUCGUGUAUUGCUUCGGCGGUGCGCGUCCCAACUCGUUGCCGUCUCGCGCGGCUGCGAAUCCCUUCGCGGUGCUCUUUAUUGAGUGUCGAGGUGGGCCGGCACGUUUACUUUGAACAAAUUAGAGUGCUUAAAGCAGGCCAAUUUUGCCUGAAUAUUGUGUGCAUGGAAUAAUGGAAUAGGACCUCGGUUCUAUUUUGUUGGUUUUCGGAACCCCGAGGUAAUGAUUAAUAGGAACGGAUGGGGGCAUUCGUAUUGCGACGUUAGAGGUGAAAUUCUUGGAUCGUCGCAGGACGGACAGAAGCGAAAGCAUUUGCCAAAAACGCUUUCAUUGAUCAAGAACGAAAGUUAGAGGUCCGAAGGCGAUCAGAUACCGCCCUAGUUCUAACCAUAAACGAUGCCAGCUAGCGAUCCGCCGACGUUCCUCCGAUGACUCGGCGGGCAGCUUCCGGGAAACCAAAGCUUUUGGGUUCCGGGGGAAGUAUGGUUGCAAAGCUGAAACUUAAAGGAAUUGACGGAAGGGCACCACCAGGAGUGGAGCCUGCGGCUUAAUUUGACUCAACACGGGAAAUCUGACCAGGCCCGGACACCGGAAGGAUUGACAGAUUGAGAGCUCUUUCUUGAUUCGGUGGGUGGUGGUGCAUGGCCGUUCUUAGUU